UGCUCCAAAAUGUCUCUUUAU
rnacentral:siRNA from 1 species